rnacentral:rRNA from 1 species
GUCUAUGGCCACGCCACCCUGAACGUGCCCGAUCCCAUCUGAUCUCGGAAGCUAAGCAGGGUCGGGCCUGGUUAGGACUUGGAUGCGAGGCCACCUAGGAAGACCAGGUGCUGUAGACA